UACAGAGGUCUCAAGCGUUGUUCGGAUUCAUUGGGCGUAAAGGGUGCGUAGGCGGCGCGGUAUGUCGGGUAUGAAAUCUCGGAGCUUAACUCCGAAACUGCAUUCGAUACUGCCGUGCUUGAGGACUGGAGAGGAGACUGGAAUUUACGGUGUAGCGGUGAAAUGCGUAGAUAUCGUUAGGAAGACCAGUGGCGAAGGCGGGUCUCUGGACAGUUCCUGACGCUGAGGCACGAAGGUCAGGGGAGCAAACGGG
rnacentral:rRNA from 1 species